GUACUGAUGAAGAGCCCCGGACUAGGACGAAACAGCUGUCCAGUAC
rnacentral:hammerhead_ribozyme from 1 species